rnacentral:misc_RNA from 1 species
GAUGAAGAACGCAGCGAAAUGCGAUAAGUAAUGUGAAUUGCAGAAUUCAGUGAAUCAUCGAAUCUUUGAACGCACCUUGCGCCCCUUGGUUAUUCCAAAGGGCAUGCCUGUUUGAGUAUCAUGAACACCUCAACUCUUGUGGUUUCCCACAAUGAGCUUGGACUGUGGAGGUUUUGUUGGCCCUGUGGUCAGCUCCUCUCAAAUGGAUCAGCUUACCGGUGUUUGGUGGCAUUACGGGUGUGAUAACUAUCUACACUCGUGGUCGUCUCCAAAUAACCUCCAGUGAUGGAGGUUCGCUGGAGCUUAUAAAUGUCUCUCCCCAGUGAAGACAGCCUUUGAACGUUCGAUCUCAAAUCAGGUAGGACUACCCGCUGAACUUAAGCAUAUCAAUAAGCGGAGGA